rfam:Winogradskyella sp. PG-2 DNA, complete genome.
UCAUUUCUAUAUUUGACAUUCAAAUGAAAACAAAAACAAAUCAUACUUGGUGGUGGAAUUUCUCAAACUUAUGUUCGUGAAAUAAUCCUUGGUAUUUAAAAUAUAGAAAAAGGCUUGUC